UUUGUGGAUGAGUUUUGCACCUUAAAUUGCCUCAUACCUCAAGCCAUAGCAUUUGCGGCUCCCCCAUGCCCCCUCCCAUCCCCUUCUUAGAAGAGCCUUUAAUAUGUAAAUGCCAGUGAUCAGGUCGGGAGCUGCCCCAGUCAAUUUCAAGUGGGGUGGGGUGGGGUGAGGUCAGGUGGGUGGGAGGGAGUGGGGGGUCGGCAGGCCUGUUUCUAGGAUUUUGGGGUCCCUAGGCAACGGGAUUGUUGGGGGCCCUAGGGCAUUUUUUGGCCUUUUACUAAAAUGUGUGUGUGUCUGUGUGUGUGUAUGUUUUUUCACGCUGCCCAGUGGUGUUUUUCAGAAUCACUAACCAUUAAACCAGGGGUAGGGAACCUAUGUCUCGAGGGCCCUUGAGGCCGUUUUAUCCGGCCCCUGAUAUCAUUAUAAUGUUUUGCAACUUCACAUGAAAUAGGCCUAUGACAUAUUUUGCAGGCCUAAAGGAAUCUUAGAAAUUACAUUUCCAAUGCAAUUAAGUUAUAUUCAGGGGACCUAGAAAAGGUGGGGACUGUUUUAAAGGUGUCUACCUUUAAAGAUGUCUAUAUGUCUAUAUAGGCCUAAAGGUGUCUAUAUAGGCCUAAAUUUUAUGGGGAAAUCCUGAUUUGUGUUCAUAGUACGGCCCCCGGAGGAUUUUAUGACCAUGGUAGGAAUUUGAAGUGGCCCCUCGAAUGAAAAAGGUUCCCCACCCCUGCAUUAAACCUUUCUACUAGCCACAGCUUUGCUGUCAGUACAUUUUAUUAUGAUACUAUAAGCUCAGAAAUUAAGUUGAUCAAACAAUUCGAUCUGUGCUAUAAACAUUUAAAUGAACCUACAGAAUAGGCUAUCAAAAUAGAAUCAUCUGAAUGAUCUUUCUUGGACAUAUAUUUUGAAGUGACCCUUCGAAUUAAAAAGGUUCCUCAGCUGCUUUUGAGGAAAAACAUCAAUGUGCUUGGCCACUCUGGUUUUUAAAUGGUAUUCUGAACUAAAGCAAGGAUUGUUCAAGUUAGUUGAAAAUAGACCGUCUCUGGUUAAAUUAGUUCUACACCAAGCCUUUAGGUGGCAGUAAAACUAAUUGGCACAAUGCGAAUUCCACACACAAGCCACAAAGAAGCCAUCAGCCGCGGUCAACAUCACCUUCCUGAUUGAACAGAACCACGCGCUGUCUGUGUGGUUUACAAGUUUCUUGGCGAUAUGGGGGAAAAGUUCCUCACAUACCAACGGAAAAUGGGCGUCAUAUACAUGCAGUCACACAGGGGUUCCAAGACCCACCGGCGUAAAAUCAAGUCAAAGGCUGCUGUCUCAUAAUAUGGCGAAGACGAGUCACCUGAAGGCCUAACUCGCCAUAGAAGACUGAAAGAAUUGUCCUGCAGGAUGCUGUGUCCUGCAAUCCUGUGUGCUGUGCUACAGACGCGUGUGGAGGUCAACCCAAAAUGGGCACAGUCUCACCGCAGAAGAGUGAAAGAGGGUAAGCUUAACCUAUAGCCUACGUCAGGGUCGGGGAACGUUUCUCAUUCGAAGGGCCGCUUCAAAUUCAUCCGAGGGGCCGUAAAAGUCCUCCAAGGGCCGUACUA